GGCCUAAUGGGUAAGUGGUCUGACUUUGAAUCAGAAGACUAAGGGUUUGAAUCCCUU
rnacentral:tRNA from 1 species